AUAAACUUUUCUUUGUGAGACUGAAUGGAGCUUCCACAUCCACUGCUGCUUUACCUAUUAAAGGAAAGCUCCGUUCUGAACUACUCUUUAUCUUUAUCUUCAUCUUCAUCUUCAUAAUCCUCAAAACCAGACAUAUCGAGAUCCAAAACAUUUUCAUCAUGGUCCUCUUCAUUUACCAUUUUUUUCUUUCCUUUGUUAGGACUCUUCUUUAAGAAACAACAGAUUUCUUCCUUGGCUGGUUACUAACAGUAGAUUCAGAUUUAUUUGGUUUUUUAUGCUUCUUCUUUGUUAGAUCUGUACGACCAGUCGUCGAAUCUACAUUCAUGGGGGUCGUUGUUUCACCAUCUUCAAUAUUUUUUAACGAUGAUAACAAAUUAGGGAUUUUGUACAUUGUGUGCUGUGAUUUUUAACCUAAUUGUGUUUGUUCAAUUUUUUUUUGUCGUUCCUUCUGAUGGAUCUCAUGCCUCUUUCUGUCUCUUUAAUUAUCUCUUUGAAACAAAAUUAAUCACUGCAAAAAAAUCUGGAGGUUUGAUGAAUAUGUGUAUUUUGGUGGUGAAUCUAGAAUUACUCCUCUGCAUAUUAAGAGCUCAGCUACCGUAACUAUUAAGCAAUAUUUGGCCUCGGUCAGAAUGAUUGAUUAUGUACAUAGAUGGGUGAUUUUAAACUCAGCUUGGAGAUAAGGGUUUUUUAUACCAAGCUGAGUUUAAGGGUUUCAUUCAAUUUUACUCUCUGAUGAUCUGUUAUUCAAUCAACAUCAUAAAAUCGAUUAUUGUGAUCACAAGACUGAUGAUUACAAGUUAGCAAUAGAUUCAAUUUUACCCAUUCAAAUCAUCUCUUCUACAUUAUUGUGAUGGAUUCUUGGGUUCAUGUAGGUCUAGUUUGCAUGUGGUUGUUUUAUUAUGGUGGUGGUAAUAGGAAUUUAUUCUGUCUUUGGAACCCAGCCACAAGAGAAUAUAAAGAAUUACCUGAAUCACCAAUUGAAUUUAAUAGAGACAGUGUUUGCAUACAUGAUUUUGGUUAUGAUCACAAGACUGAUGAUUACAAGUUAGCAAUAGGUUUAAAACCUCCUGGAAGCAAGGAUACUACUCUAGUCCAAGUCUAUACAUUAGCAUCAAAUUUGUGGAAAAGGGAAAAAACCAAAUUUGUGGAAAAGGGAAAAAACCAUACCUUAUCGGUUUUGUGAUAUGCAAAUAUCCGGGGUGCUUGUUAAUGGAAACCUUCAUUGGUUAGCGCUAGGUCAAUACAACUUAUUAUUACUCUCUUUAGAUAUCAGUGAUGAGAAUUUCGAAGAAAUGCAACUACCAAGAGAAAUCCUUGAGAUGAAUAAGGAUAUGUCUCUAGGUGUGCUGCAAGGGUGCCUUCGCUUACUUGUCAGCUCACAUGUGAAUGGUGUUGAAAAUUAUUUUGAAGUAUGGGAGAUGCUGGAUUAUGGAGUUCGAGAAUCUUGGACUAAGCGUUAUGUCAUUUCCCACGAGAGUAUUAUUAAUGAGCAAAGAUAUUUUAAGCUUGUGCGGUCUUUUGAGAACGAUGAGAUUCUACUCUUGAGUGGCGAUAUUCUAGUUUUGUAUGACCCAAAACAUGGAAGUGCCAGAGAACUAAAAAUCGACGAUGUUCCAUUCAGGAACGCCGAGACUUACUGUGAAAGCUUAGUUUCUUUGAACUCUGGCACUUGCAAUGUGGGAGUACGUGAGAGUAGGUCUGAAGAAACAUUAGACCGUAUAAGAAACUCAAAUAGUUGGAGUGAUUGUAUUUUGAGUUUCAUGUUUUUGCUAUAUGUAUUGGUAUAUAUUUAUGUAGUUUAUUUUUAAUUGAAUAGCUGUUGUUUAAUGUCUACUACACAUGUUAGGUAUCUUCGUCAGUUACUCUUACCUCCUUUUUCCAUGUCAUCAUGUAUUUCUAUCUGGGGAAUGCAAGACUUGGUAACUGGCAGCUUCAAAUUUCUGAGUUGGUAUUGGAAGUUGAUGUUACCACCUGUAAUAUAGUGGAAGAUCAACUUUGAAUAUUCAAUUUAUUAACGUGUCUAGGGAACAUGCAUUUUGUCUAUGUUUCUCUUUUGUGAAAGGUAUAGUGUUUUCGCUCUUCUUUUUCUGAAAACUAAUGUAUGAGAUGAUCAUUUUCUCUUUCACAGGCAAAAUGGUUGGAUUAAAAAUAAUUAUUAUUUUUACCAAUAGUUAUUUAUCUAAAAAGCAUGAUCCACAGCUGUAAGAAGGAACUUAUUCAAUUUUAUUGCCUGUAAGCAAACGUUUCACAUAGUUUGGUUUGGGUGUUGAAAAAUCGUUUGUUAUGUGCUUCUGGCCGGGUAACAUAUUUCUGUAAACUUUUAUUUGCCAUUUUUGUUACCGCUGUCAUCUCUGAAUUGAUACGCUACACAUUGACGCUGGCGCGAAGUUCUGGUGGUGUAGCUGCUCGCAUGCCCUUGAUCAGGGAGCAGCUUAAGGAUUCCUCAAAGGUUAGCUUCAGGGUUCAGUAUCCCCAUAACCCUGUAAACAUUUUAAGAGAGGACCGCAGGGAAUUUAUGCAAACUAAAUAUGGAACUUCCAUAACGUUGGCAUGAUUCAGUUUGAGUAGAAGGGAUGAAACUUGGGAUUGGCACCUUCAGAAGCUUCUCACCAGAAGUCUCCGGUAAUGAGCGUUGGUUCCAAAACUCCCUCUUCAACCUCAAUUACAUCAGACGGGUGAUUACUGCAAGUUUAAAUUGAAAAAAAAUUAGUUCUUAUUCUGAUGCCUGUUGUCUGGCAGUUGACUUGUUUUCUGUUUGGCACCCUUACUAGCGUGCUUGGCAAUCGGGGUAUAUUCAAAGCUGCUUGAUGCUUCACUAAAUGGGCUCCUGGUUUUGCUUUCGGUGAUAGAGAUUCUUAUGAGUGGCAUGAGUGCCUCUGAAGAUUCUGCAGCAGCUGCAGCUUUGGCCUUGAGGCACUUCUGUGAUGAUUGCCGAAAAAGCUUUGUGGAUCUCUACAGCACCUUUUACUGUUCUGAUAUUCACUGGUUGAGACUAUGUUGCAAAUCUCUGUUGUAGGACUAGCUGAUGAUUAUUUUUUGUUGGCGUCUCGAUGCAUCCUCUAUCGCGCUCAUCUUUUAGUUGCAUCAGCUGUAUUCCCACCGUUAGCUGAUGGUGCGAUGAUUGGGUACAAUAUGACACAGGUUACAUACGCUGUACUAGCCUUGAGGAGGGCCUAUGGAUGAACCUAUGGCACUUGAGUGGGCCAAAGAAAGCACUUUAUUGAUUCCAUCAACAGUUGUAACAGAAGUGGAGUGUUCAAGAUUUCAUCAAGCUUUAUCAGAUGCAGCAUCUGGGGAUGAUAUUUCGUCUUUAAGCACUAUGGUGCCCUUUAUCCCUUCCCUCUCUCUCAUAUGUAGGGGAAAAAACUCAAAACCCUACUACUAUGGUCUCCCAUAUUCCUACACAAGUAGGGAUAUCCUAGCUGGGAUAUUCCGUGUAAAAUUGAGCUUGUAAUUUACACGUAUCCGUUUCUGGUUUUCACAGUUUUACACCAACAUUUUUUUUUUACUUUUUUUUUUUACUAAAACUCUAUUUUUUUUUACC